UGUGAGCUCGAUGAGUAGGGCGGGACACGUGGUAUCCUGUCUGAAUAUGGGGGGACCAUCCUCCAAGGCUAAAUACUCCUGACUGACCGAUAGUGAACCAGUACCGUGAGGGAAAGGCGAAAAGAACCCCGGCGAGGGGAGUGAAAAAGAACCUGAAACCGUGUACGUACAAGCAGUGGGAGCACGCUUAGGCGUGUGACUGCGUACCUUUUGUAUAAUGGGUCAGCGACUUAUAUUCUGUAGCAAGGUUAACCGAAUAGGGGAGCCGAAGGGAAACCGAGUCUUAACUGGGCGUUAAGUUGCAGGGUAUAGACCCGAAACCCGGUGAUCUAGCCAUGGGCAGGUUGAAGGUUGGGUAACACUAACUGGAGGACCGAACCGACUAAUGUUGAAAAAUUAGCGGAUGACUUGUGGCUGGGGGUGAAAGGCCAAUCAAACCGGGAGAUAGCUGGUUCUCCCCGAAAGCUAUUUAGGUAGCGCCUCGUGAAUUCAUCUCCGGGGGUAGAGCACUGUUUCGGCAAGGGGGUCAUCCCGACUUACCAACCCGAUGCAAACUGCGAAUACCGGAGAAUGUUAUCACGGGAGACACACGGCGGGUGCUAACGUCCGUCGUGAAGAGGGAAACAACCCAGACCGCCAGCUAAGGUCCCAAAGUCAUGGUUAAGUGGGAAACGAUGUGGGAAGGCCCAGACAGCCAGGAUGUUGGCUUAGAAGCAGCCAUCAUUUAAAGAAAGCGUAAUAGCUCACUGGUCGAGUCGGCCUGCGCGGAAGAUGUAACGGGGCUAAACCAUGCACCGAAGCUGCGGCAGCGACGCUUAUGCGUUGUUGGGUAGGGGAGCGUUCUGUAAGCCUGCGAAGGUGUGCUGUGAGGCAUGCUGGAGGUAUCAGAAGUGCGAAUGCUGACAUAAGUAACGAUAAAGCGGGUGAAAAGCCCGCUCGCCGGAAGACCAAGGGUUCCUGUCCAACGUUAAUCGGGGCAGGGUGAGUCGACCCCUAAGGCGAGGCCGAAAGGCGUAGUCGAUGGGAAACAGGUUAAUAUUCCUGUACUUGGUGUUACUGCGAAGGGGGGACGGAGAAGGCUAUGUUGGCCGGGCGACGGUUGUCCCGGUUUAAGCGUGUAGGCUGGUUUUCCAGGCAAAUCCGGAAAAUCAAGGCUGAGGCGUGAUGACGAGGCACUACGGUGCUGAAGCAACAAAUGCCCUGCUUCCAGGAAAAGCCUCUAAGCAUCAGGUAACAUCAAAUCGUACCCCAAACCGACACAGGUGGUCAGGUAGAGAAUACCAAGGCGCUUGAGAGAACUCGGGUGAAGGAACUAGGCAAAAUGGUGCCGUAACUUCGGGAGAAGGCACGCUGAUAUGUAGGUGAGGUCCCUCGCGGAUGGAGCUGAAAUCAGUCGAAGAUACCAGCUGGCUGCAACUGUUUAUUAAAAACACAGCACUGUGCAAACACGAAAGUGGACGUAUACGGUGUGACGCCUGCCCGGUGCCGGAAGGUUAAUUGAUGGGGUUAGCGCAAGCGAAGCUCUUGAUCGAAGCCCCGGUAAACGGCGGCCGUAACUAUAACGGUCCUAAGGUAGCGAAAUUCCUUGUCGGGUAAGUUCCGACCUGCACGAAUGGCGUAAUGAUGGCCAGGCUGUCUCCACCCGAGACUCAGUGAAAUUGAACUCGCUGUGAAGAUGCAGUGUACCCGCGGCAAGACGGAAAGACCCCGUGAACCUUUACUAUAGCUUGACACUGAACAUUGAGCCUUGAUGUGUAGGAUAGGUGGGAGGCUUAGAAGUGUGGACGCCAGUCUGCAUGGAGCCGACCUUGAAAUACCACCCUUUAAUGUUUGAUGUUCUAACGUUGACCCGUAAUCCGGGUUGCGGACAGUGUCUGGUGGGUAGUUUGACUGGGGCGGUCUCCUCCUAAAGAGUAACGGAGGAGCACGAAGGUUGGCUAAUCCUGGUCGGACAUCAGGAGGUUAGUGCAAUGGCAUAAGCCAGCUUGACUGCGAGCGUGACGGCGCGAGCAGGUGCGAAAGCAGGUCAUAGUGAUCCGGUGGUUCUGAAUGGAAGGGCCAUCGCUCAACGGAUAAAAGGUACUCCGGGGAUAACAGGCUGAUACCGCCCAAGAGUUCAUAUCGACGGCGGUGUUUGGCACCUCGAUGUCGGCUCAUCACAUCCUGGGGCUGAAGUAGGUCCCAAGGGUAUGGCUGUUCGCCAUUUAAAGUGGUACGCGAGCUGGGUUUAGAACGUCGUGAGACAGUUCGGUCCCUAUCUGCCGUGGGCGCUGGAGAACUGAGGGGGGCUGCUCCUAGUACGAGAGGACCGGAGUGGACGCAUCACUGGUGUUCGGGUUGUCAUGCCAAUGGCACUGCCCGGUAGCUAAAUGCGGAAGAGAUAAGUGCUGAAAGCAUCUAAGCACGAAACUUGCCCCGAGAUGAGUUCUCCCUGACCCUUUAAGGGUCCUGAAGGAACGUUGAAGACGACGACGUUGAUAGGCCGGGUGUGUAAGCGCAGCGAUGCGUUGAGCUAACCGGUACUAAUGAACCGUGAGGCUUAACCUUACAACGCCGAAGCUGUU
rnacentral:rRNA from 2 species